UACACUCCUGCGGGAGGCAGCAGUGGGGAAUUUUGGACAAUGGGCGAAAGCCUGAUCCAGCAAUGCCGCGUGUGUGAAGAAGGCCUUCGGGUUGUAAAGCACUUUUGUCCGGAAAGAAAUCCUUGGCUCUAAUACAGUCGAGGGAUGACGGUACCGGAAGAAUAAGCCCCGGCUAACUACGUGCCAGCAGCCGCGGUAAUACGUAGGGUGCGAGCGUUAAUCGGAAUUACUGGGCGUAAAGCGUGCGCAGGCGGUUUGCUAAGACCGAUGUGAAAUCCCCGGGCUCAACCUGGGAACUGCAUUGGGGACUGGCAGGCUAGAGUAUGGCAGAGGGGGGUAGAAUUCCACGUGUAGCAGUGAAAUGCGUAGAGAUGUGGAGGAAUACCGAUGGCGAAGGCAGCCCCCUGGGCCAAUACUGACGCUCAUGCACGAAAGCGUGGGGAGCAAACAGGAUUAGAAACCCGAGUAGUCCCAUGA
rnacentral:rRNA from 1 species